UGGUGGAGUGAUUUGUCUGGUUAAUUCCGUUAACGAACGAGACCUCGACCUGCUAAAUAGUUUGGCGAAUUCCCUGUGGAUUCGCACAUAACUUCUUUGAGGGACUAUCGGUUCGCAGCCGGUGGAAGUUCGAGGCAAUAACA
rnacentral:rRNA from 1 species